CUGGCUCAGGACGAACGCUGGCGGCGUGCCUAAUACAUGCAAGUCGAACGGUCUUUCUAUGGAAGCUUGCUUCCACUGAGAAGAUAGUGGCGAACGGGUGAGUAACACGUGGGUAACCUGCCCAUAAGAGGGGGAUAACAUCCGGAAACGGGUGCUAAUACCGCAUAGUUUUCUUGAUCGCAUGAUCGGGAAAGGAAAGACGGCCUUUGUGCUGUCGCUUAUGGAUGGACCCGCGGCGUAUUAGUUAGUUGGUGAGGUAACGGCUCACCAAGACGAUGAUACGUAGCCGACCUGAGAGGGUGAUCGGCCACAUUGGGACUGAGACACGGCCCAAACUCCUACGGGAGGCAGCAGUAGGGAAUCUUCCGCAAUGGACGAAAGUCUGACGGAGCAACGCCGCGUGAGUGAAGAAAGGUUUUCGGAUCGUAAAACUCUGUUGUCAGAGAAGAACAAGUUGGAGAGUAACUGCUCCAGCCUUGACGGUAUCUGACCAGAAAGCCACGGCUAACUACGUGCCAGCCGCCGC
rnacentral:rRNA from 1 species